rnacentral:ncRNA from 1 species
UAAAGGGUUGUUGGAGACUACGACGUAGAUAGGCAGGGUGUGUAAGCGCUGUGAGGCGUUGAGCUAACCUGUACUAAUUGCCCGU